rnacentral:rRNA from 1 species
GUGGCGAACGGGUGAGUAAAAGGGGGAAUCUGCCCUGCACUCUGGGACAAGCCCUGGAAACGGGGUCUAAUACCGGAUACUGAGCCGCUUGGGCAUCCAAGUGGUUCGAAAGCUCCGGCGGUGCAGGAUGAGCCCGCGGCCUAUCACCUUGUUGGUGAGGUAAUGGCUCACCAAGGCGACGACGGGUAGCCGGCCUGAGAGGGCGACCGGCCACACUGGGACUGAGACACGGCCCAGACUCCUACGGGAGGCAGCAGUGGGGAAUAUUGCACAAUGGGCGAAAGCCUGAUGCAGCGACGCCGCGUGAGGGAUGACGGCCUUCGGGUUGUAAACCUCUUUCAGCAGGGAAGAAGCGAAAGUGACGGUACCUGCAGAAGAAGCGCCGGCUAACUACGUGCCAGCAGCCGCGGUAAUACGUAGGGCGCAAGCGUUGUCCGGAAUUAUUGGGCGUAAAGAGCUCGUAGGCGGCUUGUCUCGUCGGUUGUGAAAGCCCGGGGCUUAACCCCGGGUCUGCAGUCGAUACGGGCAGGCUAGAGUUCGGUAGGGGAGAUCGGAAUUUCCUGGUGUACCGGUGAAAUU